UCUUCCUCCUGUCCGCUCUGUGACCCCAGGUUUUGCGCAGACUCAGUUUCUUACUGGCUGUUGUCCAAACCGCGGGUGUAGUUCCAACCGGCUUAAUACUGAUAAAGCCUAGAGAGCUCACCGUGUUUUACAAACUGUCUGUUCACUAAGCAGAACUGUUAACCGUUAUCUAAACUAUUUCCCUUGAACUAUUUUCUUUUGUUAUCCCCUUCUUGCUAUUAUCCCCUUCUUGCUAUUCUCAUGUUAACCCUUACAUCCCCUGUUCCUAUCUUGGCCCUGUAUCACUAGGAGGGGUGAGACUUCAUUCCUCCAGUCCCCUGCCUUGAGAGACAACUGAGAGUUGUGGGAAAAGGAAUUGCCACUGAAAACUGAGGGAGGGAGGCUCUACCUUUCCGUACAACGCGAUAUCUUCUGGUCGCCGGACCCUAACUACCACAGACCAUGAAGAAGACCACGGUGAAGCAGGUUGUCCUCCCAUGAGCCACAGAGAACCAUGCCAAGGCAGAUAUCCACACUGCAUCCAUGGAGGACCCCACACUGCGGUAAGUGGAGAUGCCCUGAAGGACGGUGCUGCCUCUGGAGGGGAUUCCACCAUUUUCUGGCAGAAAUGGCAGCCCCUGGGCAAAACCAAGGAUGAAGCAGCCUGGGAAGGGCUGUAUCAAUUUGGUGGGACGCCACGUAGGAGCAGGGGAACAGCGGCAAAGACAAAGUGUUAUGGAGUGAUGGCAACCCUCAUUCCUCAUCCCUCUUCGCCCCCUGAAGAAGAGGUGGUCAAACAGUUGGGAAUGGAAGAGCCAUGUUGAACCUGGGAAGAAGAUGGAGUGGGGGGAAGGUGGUUUUACUUUUUUUUUAUUAUUAUCAUACAGUAAUUGGAAAUAAAUUGGAUUGGGCUCCCUCGAAUAGAGGCUGCUUUGCCUGCGAGGGUGGUCGGGGGACAGUUCUCCCAGAACCACGGCGCUGUGGGUCAGGAGGGGCUUUUGGAGAAGAGCAUGGGGUGCCAGCCCCUGCCGAGCGCAGAGACACCUUCCCGCAGCCCCCGUCACCCCCAGCCCCACCCAGCCUGGCCAGAGAGGGACAGUCCUGGCCCAGACUGACAACCAAAGGGCGGAGGCGCGCUGAGGGAACCCUCAGGGAGAACAGUCUGUUGGCUGACCUGCACCCUUUUGGCUCAUCGCUCCUCAAGCUUACAGGUUCUGCAGUCGGUUGUGCAGCACCAACCCCUCUUGCGUCCCUGAACCCGGGGUUUGCCACCGCUGUCUACGUUUACGGGAUUCUGAUGAAAGGCCCAGAUCUCGUUGAAGCUAAGAGCUGCCCCAGCUCGACGGC